rnacentral:siRNA from 1 species
CAAAUAAUUUGCUACCGCUGCUGC